rnacentral:tRNA from 1 species
GCGCCUGUAGCUCAAUUGGAUAGAGCAUCAGCCUACGGAGCUGAGGGUUCUCGGUUCGAUCCCGAGCAGGCGCG